rnacentral:rRNA from 1 species
UCGUCUGAGCACCAGCCAUAGCAUGUCUAAGUAUAAACAAUUAUACAGUGAAACUGCGAACGGCUCAUUAAAUCAGUUAUCGUUUAUUUGAUAGUUUUCUACAUGGAUAACCGUGAUAACUUCAGAACUAAUACAUGACAGCCUUCUGGCGUAUAUAUUAGAUACAAACCAACAGUAUGGUGAUUCAUAAUAUCUUGUCGAACCGAUCUUCGGUGUAUCAUUCAAAUUUCUGCCCUAUCAACUGUCGAUGGUAGGAUCGUGGCCUACCAUGGUAACAACGGGUAACGGGGAAUCAGGGUUCUAUUCCGGAGAGGGAGCCUGAGAAACGGCUACCACAUCCAAGGAAGGCAGCAGGCGCGCAAAUUACCCAAUCCUGACACAGGGAGGUAGUGACAAUAUAUAACGAUCCGGGGCUCUUUGAGUUUCGGAAUUGGAAUGAGUACAAUUUAAACACCUUAACGAGGAACAAUUGGAGGGCAAGUCUGGUGCCAGCAGCCGCGGUAAUUCCAGCUCCAAUAGCGUAUAUUAAUGUUGUUGCAGUUAAAAAGCUCGUAGUUGAAAUUGGGCGGGCUAUUAGUUUAGGCCGCUUCAGGAAGAACUUCUUCCAGUUACUUUGAAAAAAUUAGAGUGUUCAACGCAGGUUUCGCCUGAAUAUAUUAGCAUGGAAUAACAUAACACGACGAGGGUCCAUUUUGUUGGCUUGCAAACCCACGUAAUGAUUAAUAGGGACAGUCGGGGGCGUCAGUAUUGUGUUGUCAGAGGUGAAAUUCUUGGAUUUACACAAGACUAACUACUGCGAAGGCAUUCGCCAAGGAUGUAUUCAUUAAUCAAGAACGAAAGUUAGGGGAUCAAAGAUGAUCAGAUACCGUCGUAGUCUUAACCGUAAACUAUGCCGACUGAGAAUGGGUACCGCUUAUACGGUAUCCGCGCUCUACGAGAAAUCAAAGUGAUCAGGUUCUGGGGGGAGUAUGGUCGCAAGGCUGAAACUUAAAGGAAUUGACGGAGGGCACCACCAGGAGUGGAGCCUGGCGGCUUAAUUUGACUCAACACGGGAAACUCACCAGGUCCAGACACAUUAGAUGACGAUGAUAGCUCUUUCUUGAUUUUGUGGGUGUGGUGCAUGCGUCUUAGUGUGGAUGAUUGUCUGCUAUGCGAUACGAACGAGACUGACUACUAAAUAGCUUCACUUGCCAUGCAGGUAGCUAGCUCUGGAGACAUUCUAUUACAAGGUGAGUGGAGUUUCGAAGGCCAAAUAAACA